UGUAAAUGCUUUUAGAUUGAAUGACUAAAUAAAAGAAGAAACUACAGCACAGUCAAUUUUCCCCAUGACCGCCUGAGAGAUGAAGCCAGUGCUGCCACUUUUCCUUCAUUUUUUCCUGCCUUGAAUAUGGUAGUGAUGCCUGGAGCUUUAGUAGCUAUCUUAUGAUCAUGAAAUGGCAGGCAUGAGACUGAAAGACAUUGCACUCAUCAUGAAAGCAGGUAGAGCAGAAGAAAUAGGGUCACUGGUGAUAUCAAUAAUAGCUGAAACAGUGCUGCUCUGGAUGGAAAAUGCCCUGGGUUCUCUGAGACUUAACACCCCGCCUUGUGAACAUGAACAAGAUUAUUCUCUCUGAGCAGCUCUUUUCACAUGUGAUAAGCUUGGCAAGUUGCCCUGGAUUCAGUUCCCCCCACUGUCCUCACCCAACCCAACAGAGAAGAGGGCUUGUGACUGUGUAAGGUGAAAAUGGAUAUACCAUUUCUGGGAAGAGAAAAGAAGCCAAUUAAAAGUGGAACAUGUCAUUACACUGACAAGCAAUGAAUGUACCUUAUUUAGAAAAAAGAAUCCAUGAAUUCCUGUGGCUCUGA